rnacentral:rRNA from 1 species
AUGCCACCUUCCGUGCACGACACGGAAGGCCUGCCGUUCAUGAAGCAUGGUUGUGUCUUCCGUGCGCACCGCCGGAUGAACGACAUGCUGGGACACGCUAUCCCUGAUUUAUGCCGCUUCAGCUUGGAUGAGUCUCCAUCGAGUGGAACCGGACUAGAAAGCUGCGACAAUGAUUCCCGUUGCCCACCGUUAUGGAUCGUGCCAUCCAUGAAGAACACCUGGGACUGGAACCUGGAGGAGGACAUAAUAAACCCAUGCAAGUCGAAGAAGGAUUGGCCGGUGCUGCCGGUUGGCGUCAAGUUCGAUCCCACGGAUCAGGAGCUGAUCGAGCACUGUGAGGCCAAAGUGAGUGCUGACAGCGCAAGAUCUCACCCUCUCAUCGAUUUGUUCAUACCAACCAUCGACAGCGAGCACGGCAUAUGCUACACCCAUCCUGAGAAAUUUCCAGGUAUCACACUGAGUGGCCUAAGCAAGCAGUUCUUCCAGCGCAAUUCCAGGGCGUUCAAAAGGGGCACGUGGACGCGUCACAAGAUACAGUCGGAGUGCGGCAUGCACGCGAUGUGGCACAACACCGGCAAUACCUUGCCGGUGAUGAGGACCAACUGGGUGAUGCAACAGUACCACCUCGGGGACCUGGAGCAAGAGAAGGAGCAGGAGCUAGUCCUCUGCAAGAUUUUCUACCAGACGAGCACUAGGGCCAGGAGUAAAAAGAUUAUAAAUUAG